rnacentral:tRNA from 1 species
AGUGAGUUGGCAGAAUAGUGCUACCGACUUAGGAUCGGCCCAUGGAUGAUAUCCACUCACUA